rnacentral:lncRNA from 1 species
UUCUUCUUAAGACCAAAAGUUAAAGUUAAGAAACUAAAACAAUCAAAUGUUGAAACAAAAGUUGCUUCUCAAUUCUCAUAUUUUGAGCAAACCACAAUCUCUUCUCAAACUAAAACACAAUUCUCAUAUACAAGAGAUACCACAGUUCAAAUAUAUGAACAGUGGAUCGCUCAGAUUCUCAGAAACAAGAACAUGAAUAGAUAGAUGAAUCUCCGGAGAUUGUGAUGAAUAUCGUUCUACUACUACUCUGCGUUCGGCAUCUGAACCAUCAUAUGCGAACCCUACAGUCACCCAAAAAAAAACAGUUUAAUCAGUUUUUCUUUUGGUUAUUUCAUAAUAUUUACGGUCGUUUAAGCUCUGGAUACUAAAAGUCCGAACAAAUUUUAUACCAUUGAACUGUUAUAAUUCUUGUGUGUACUCUUAUUUCUCCUCUAUGCGAGAACUACAUAGAAGUAAAAAUUAACCUUUGCUAAGAGAAAGCACUUACUUGAGCGUUUCCAUAAGGACCUUGUGAGAAAGAGCCUUGCUGGCCCUGCUGCAGAAACUGUUCAGAAAGGUAAAUAUGGGGAAAAUUUUAAAUUAGCCCACGCGAAACAUAAGCACAAUGCAAAAGAAAGAAGAAAGAAAAAACAAUGUCAAUUGGAGAGAUUACUUGGCCUGGUUGACCAUCUCUCUUAGCACUUGAUUCCCCGCCUUUUCCUGAUCCCUUGUUGUCACCCUAUCAAAAUGGCAGAAACAAUCCUAAUGAGACACAAUCAUACAACAUAAAAGAAGAUCGGUAAGUGAAAAAUGGGAACCACUGAC